GCCCUCGUAGCUCAAUUGGAUAGAGCGUUUGCUUGCGGAGCAAAAGGCUGGGGAUUCGAGCUCCUCCGAGGGCGCAA
rnacentral:tRNA from 1 species